UCUGUAUUGUUGUCAUGAAAUGGCUUCUCUGUAGUGUUACUUAAUGCUGUAAUGGGUUUCUGUAUCUGGAAUGUUUGGGUUAAAACUGCAGAUAAGGGGGGAACUAACCAAUGGAGAAUUGUUAUGCUAUCUUGUAUGUGUGAGCUGAGCUGGAAUUUGUGGUUACUUUUCAGAAGGCGAGCAAAGAGGAUGGAUGUGUGAGGAGCAGACAGCGGUUCCAGGGCGGAGGAUACUGGAAGUCAGCAGUUCGGACGGUGGCCAAAGGCUCGGACGGUCGUUGUGGGUGGAACCAGAGAUUGGCUGUAGAAGUUACCAGUAGUAUCUGAAGCUAUACGUUCCCCAGUGGAAGAUAUUUCAUUGAUAAAAAAAAUUGUGGAUUCCUCACACUUGGUUGCAGAUGCUUGACUGAGGACAUUAUCGGUUUGGGAUGAUGGAGUCUGCAAUUAUCCGCAUUGUUGGAUACGGGGGAGAAGACAAUGGAAUCUCGGGUGGCAGCUCGAAAGCUACUCUGCUAAAGGUGCUGUGGAGGAGAGGAGGUAUCUACUGGAGUGGGCUUGGCUGCCGAUGGUGAGCUUUUCCAUACCUGCGACUGAAUCCCUGAUGCCCUGACCGAUGGAGAAUGAUGUUGUCAAAGAGUCAUAGAAACAUACAGCACAGCAUAGAAACAGGCUCUUUGACCCAUCUAGUUCAUGCCAAACCAUAUAAAUUACCUACUCCCUUCGAGAUCAUGGCCUUCCAAAUGGUAUGGCCAUGGCCAUACCCUUACCAUCCAGGUACCUACCCAAUUUCUCUUAAACAUUGAAAUCGAGCUCACAUUCACCUUGCACUUGCCCGCCAUUUUUCAGUCCACUUUUCCAUCUGAUCUAGAUUCCGCUGAAAGCUCUGAUAGUCUUCCUCAACAUCCACUACACCACCAAUUUCAGUGUCAUCCACAAAUUUGCUGAUCCAGUUAACCAGUUUAUCUUCCAGAUCAUUAAUACAGAUGAUAAACAACAAUGGAACCAGUACUGAUCCCAGUGGCACUCCACUAGUCACAGGCCUCCAGUCAGAGAGGCAACUAUCUACUACCACUCUCUGGCUUCUCCCACAAUG